rnacentral:rRNA from 1 species
GAUGAACGCUGGCGGCGUGCCUAAUACAUGCAAGUCGAGCGAACGGACGAGAAGCUUGCUUCUCUGAUGUUAGCGGCGGACGGGUGAGUAACACGUGGAUAACCUACCUAUAAGACUGGGAUAACUUCGGGAAACCGGAGCUAAUACCGGAUAAUAUUUUGAACCGCAUGAUUCAAAAGUGAAAGACGGUCUUGCUGUCACUUAUAGAUGGAUCCGCGCUGCAUUAGCUAGUUGGUAAGGUAACGGCUUACCAAGGCAACGAUGCAUAGCCGACCUGAGAGGGUGAUCGGCCACACUGAAAAUGAGACACGGUCCAGACUCCUACGAGAGGCAGCAGUAGGGAAUCUUCCGCAAUGGGCGAAAGCCUGACGGAGCAAAGCCGCGUGAGUGAUGAAGGUCUUCGGAUCGUAAAACUCUGUUAUUAGGGAAGAACAUAUGUGUAAGUAACUGUGCACAUCUUGACGGUACCUAAUCAGAAAGACACGGCUAACUACGUG